rnacentral:rRNA from 1 species
CCUACGGGUGGCUGCAGUGAGGAAUAUUGGUCAAUGGACGAGAGUCUGAACCAGCCAAGUAGCGUGAAGGAUGACUGCCCUAUGGGUUGUAAACUUCUUUUAUAUGGGAAUAAAACGUUCCACGUGUGGGAUUUUGUAUGUACCAUAUGAAUAAGGAUCGGCUAAAUCCGUGCCAGCAGCCGCGGUAAUACGGAGGAUCCGCGCGUUAUCCGGAUUUAUUGGGUGUAAAGGGAGCGUAGGUGGAUUGUUAAGUCAGUUGUGAAAGUUUGCGGCUCAACCGUAAAAUUGCAGUUGAAACUGGCAGUCUUGAGUACAGUAGAGGUGGGCGGAAUUCGUGGUGUAGCGGUGAAAUGCUUAGAUAUCACGAAGAACUCCGAUUGCGAAGGCAGUUCACUGGACUGCAACUGACACUGAGGCUCGAAAGUGUGGGUAUCAAACAGGAUUAGAUACCCCUGUAGUC